AUUGAACGCUGGCGGCAUGCUUUACACAUGCAAGUCGAACGGCAGCGCGGGCUUCGGCCUGGCGGCGAGUGGCGAACGGGUGAGUAAUGCAUCGGAACGUGCCCAGUAGUGGGGGAUAGCCCGGCGAAAGCCGGAUUAAUACCGCACACGACCUGAGGGUGAAAGCGGGGGACCGAAAGGCCUCGCGCUAUUGGAGCGGCCGAUGUCGGAUUAGCUAGUUGGUGGGGUAAAGGCUUACCAAGGCGACGAUCCGUAGCUGGUCUGAGAGGACGACCAGCCACACUGGGACUGAGACACGGCCCAGACUCCUACGGGAGGCAGCAGUGGGGAAUUUUGGACAAAGGGGGCAACCCUGAUCCAGCCAUGCCGCGUGCGGGAAGAAGGCCUUCGGGUUGUAAACCGCUUUUGUUCGGGAAGAAAUCCUCUGGGCUAAUACCCCGGGGGGAUGACGGUACCGGAAGAAUAAGCACCGGCUAACUACGUG
rnacentral:rRNA from 1 species